GAUGAAGAACGCAGCAAAAUGCGAUAAGUAAUGUGAAUUGCAGAAUUCAGUGAAUAAUCGAAUCUUUGAACGCACAUUGCGCCCGCCAGUAUUCUGGCGGGCAUGCCUGUUCGAGCGUCAUUUCAACCCUCAAGCACAGCUUGGUGUUGGGACUCGCGUUAAUUCGCGUUCCUCAAAUUGAUUGGCGGUCACGUCGAGCUUCCAUAGCGUAGUAGUAAAACCCUCGUUACUGGUAAUCGUCGCGGCCACGCCGUUAAACCCCAACUUCUGAAUGUUGACCUCGGAUCAGGUAGGAAUACCCGCUGAACUUAAGCAUAUCAAUAAGCGGAGGA
rnacentral:misc_RNA from 1 species